ACUGGGAUAACUUCGGGAAACCGGAGCUAAUACCGGAUAACAUUUGGAACCGCAUGGUUCUAAAGUGAAAGAUGGUUUUGCUAUCACUUAUAGAUGGACCCGCGCCGUAUUAGCUAGUUGGUAAGGUAACGGCUUACCAAGGCGACGAUACGUAGCCGACCUGAGAGGGUGAUCGGCCACACUGGAACUGAGACACGGUCCAGACUCCUACGGGAGGCAGCAGUAGGGAAUCUUCCGCAAUGGGCGAAAGCCUGACGGAGCAACGCCGCGUGAGUGAUGAAGGGUUUCGGCUCGUAAAACUCUGUUAUUAGGGAAGAACAAACGUGUAAGUAACUGUGCAYGUCUUGACGGUACCUAAUCAGAAAGCCACGGCUAACUACGUGCCAGCAGCCGCGGUAAUACGUAGGUGGCAAGCGUUAUCCGGAAUUAUUGGGCGUAAAGCGCGCGUAGGCGGUUUCUUAAGUCUGAUGUGAAAGCCCACGGCUCAACCGUGGAGGGUCAUUGGAAACUGGGAAACUUGAGUGCAGAAGAGGAAAGUGGAAUUCCAUGUGUAGCGGUGAAAUGCGCAGAGAUAUGGAGGAACACCAGUGGCGAAGGCGACUUUCUGGUCUGUAACUGACGCUGAUGUGCGAAAGCGUGGGGAUCAAACAGGAUUAGAUACCCUGGUAGUCCACGCCGUAAACGAUGAGUGCUAAGUGUUAGGGGGUUUCCGCCCCUUAGUGCUGCAGCUAACGCAUUAAGCACUCCGCCUGGGGAGUACGACCGCAAGGUUGAAACUCAAAGGAAUUGACGGGGACCCGCACAAGCGGUGGAGCAUGUGGUUUAAUUYGAAGCAACGCGAAGAACCUUACCAAAUCUUGACAUCCUUUGAAAACUCUAGAGAUAGAGCCUUCCCCUUCGGGGGACAAAGUGACAGGUGGUGCAUGGUUGUCGUCAGCUCGUGUCGUGAGAUGUUGGGUUAAGUCCCGCAACGAGCGCAACCCUUAAGCUUAGUUGCCAUCAUUAAGUUGGGCACUCUAGGUUGACUGCCGGUGACAAACCGGAGGAAGGUGGGGAUGACGUCAAAUCAUCAUGCCCCUUAUGAUUUGGGCUACACACGUGCUACAAUGGACAAUACAAAGGGCAGCUAAACCGCGAGGUCAUGCAAAUCCCAUAAAGUUGUUCUCAGUUCGGAUUGUAGUCUGCAACUCGACUACAUGAAGCUGGAAUCGCUAGUAAUCGUAGAUCAGCAUGCUACGGUGAAUACGUUCCCGGGUCUUGUACACACCGCCCGUCACACCACGAGAGUUUGUAACACCCGAAGCCGGUGGAGUAACC
rnacentral:rRNA from 1 species